GUGCCAGCCGCCGCGGUAAUACGUAGGGUCCAAGCGUUAUCCGGAAUCACUGGGCGUAAAGCGUGCGUAGGUGGUUCGUUAAGUGAGAUGUUAAAUCGUGUGGCUCAACCAUAUCGAUGCAUCUCAUACUGGCGAACUAGAGGACAGCAGAGGCAAGUGGAAUUACGAGUGUAGCGGUAAAAUGCGUAGAUAUUCGUAGGAACACCAAUGGCGAAGGCAGCUUGCUGGGCUACUCCUGACACUGAGGUACGAAAGCGUGGGGAGCGAACAGGAUUAGAUACCCCGGUAGUCC
rnacentral:rRNA from 1 species